GACGAACGCUGGCGGCGUGCUUAACACAUGCAAGUCGAGCGGAAAGGCCCUUGCGGGGGUACUCGAGCGGCGAACGGGUGAGUAACACGUGAGUAAUCUGCCCCUGGCUUUGGGAUAGCCACCGGAAACGGUGAUUAAUACCGGAUACGACCACUUCUCGCAUGGGAUGGUGGUGGAAAGUUUUUCGGCCAGGGAUGUGCUCGCGGCCUAUCAGCUUGAUGGUGAGGUAAUGGCUCACCAUGGCUUCGACGGGUAGCCGGCCUGAGAGGGUGACCGGUCACACUGGGACUGAGACACGGCCCAGACGCCUACGGGAGGCAGCAGUGGGGAAUAUUGGACAAUGGGCGGAAGCCUGAUCCAGCAACGCCGCGUGAGGGAUGACGGCCUUCGGGUUGUAAACCUCUUUCAGCAGGGACGAAGCGCAAGUGACGGUACCUGCAGAAGAAGCACCGGCCAACUACGUGCCAGCAGCCGCGGUAA
rnacentral:rRNA from 1 species